UGACGGUAUCUAACCAGCAAGUCACGGCUAACUACGUGCCAGCAGCCGCGGUAAUACGUAGGUGGCAAGCGUUGUCCGGAUUUAUUGGGCGUAAAGGGAACGCAGGCGGUUUUUUAAGUCUGAUGUGAAAGCCUUCGGCUCAACCGAAGAAUUGCAUUGGAAACUGGAAGACUUGAGUGCAGAAGAGGAGAGUGGAACUCCAUGUGUAGCGGUGGAAUGCGUAGAUAUAUGGAAGAACACCAGUGGCGAAAGCGGCUCUCUGGUCUGUAACUGACGCUGAGGUUCGAAAGCGUGGGUAGCAAACAGGAUUAGAUACCCUG
rnacentral:rRNA from 1 species